rnacentral:rRNA from 1 species
AUUGAACGCUGGCGGCAGGCCUAACACAUGCAAGUCGAGCGGAUGAAGGGAGCUUGCUCCUGGAUUCAGCGGCGGACGGGUGAGUAAUGCCUAGGAAUCUGCCUGGUAGUGGGGGAUAACGUCCGGAAACGGGCGCUAAUACCGCAUACGUCCUGAGGGAGAAAGUGGGGGAUCUUCGGACCUCACGCUAUCAGAUGAGCCUAGGUCGGAUUAGCUAGUUGGUGGGGUAAAGGCCUACCAAGGCGACGAUCCGUAACUGGUCUGAGAGGAUGAUCAGUCACACUGGAACUGAGGCACGGUCCAGACUCCUACGGGAGGCAGCAGUGGGGAAUAUUGGACAAUGGGCGAAAGCCUGAUCCAGCCAUGCCGCGUGUGUGAAGAAGGUCUUCGGAUUGUAAAGCACUUUAAGUUGGGAGGAAGGGCAGUAAGUUAAUACCCUGCUGUUUUGACGUUACCAACAGAAUAAGCACCGGCUAACUUCGUG